rnacentral:rRNA from 1 species
UACAGAGGUCUCAAGCGUUGUUCGGAUUCAUUGGGCGUAAAGGGUGUGUAGGUGGCGCGCUAAGUCGGGUGUGAAAUUUCGGAGCUUAACUCCGAAACUGCAUUCGAUACUGGCGUGCUUGAGGACUGGAGAGGAGACUGGAAUUCAUGGUGUAGCAGUGAAAUGCGUAGAGAUCAUGAGGAAGACCAGUGGCGAAGGCGGGUCUCUGGACAGUUCCUGACACUGAGACACGAAAGGCCAGGGGAGCAAACGGGG